AUUGAACGCUGGCGGCAGGCCUAACACAUGCGAGUCGAGCGGAUGAAGGGAGCUUGCUCCUGGAUUCAGCGGCGGACGGGUGAGUAAUGCCUAGGAAUCUGCCUGGUAGUGGGGGAUAACGUCCGAAAACGGGCGCUAAUACCGCAUACGUCCUGAGGGAGAAAGUGGGGGAUCUUCGGACCUCACGCUAUCAGAUGAGCCUAGGUCGGAUUAGCUAGUUGGUGGGGUAAAGGCCUACCAAGGCGACGAUCCGUAACUGGUCUGAGAGGAUGAUCAGUCACACUGGAACUGAGACACGGUCCAGACUACUACGGGAGGCAGCAGUGGGGAAUAUUGGACAAUGGGCGAAAGCCUGAUCCAGCCAUGCCGCGUGUGUGAAGAAGGUCUUCGGAUUGUAAAGCACUUUAAGUUGGGAGGAAGGGCAGUAAGUUAAUACCUUGCUGUUUUGACGUUACCAACAGAAUAAGCACCGGCUAACUUCGUG
rnacentral:rRNA from 1 species